CCUUCGUCGUCUUCACAGUCAUCUGUACAAAGGAGUGCAGGUCCCAAAAAAGCAACCCGCCCACGGAAGUGUUCCUGUAAGUGACAAGAUCUCCGGGGCAGCACCCUGCUCUCCAGGCUCCUCAUUCUGACGACGGUGGGCUGCCUCUUCUUGUGACGAUUCCAAUGUGGGAAGAAACAAAGAACACAGAGGUUUGGUCUGACUUGUGCGCUGUGCUUCCUUUGCUCUGGCUUCCUGUUGAAGAGGGAGGAUUUUGUUCCCACCGUGAGAGUCAUUUUAUCUAGAUCCCAUCUACAGAAUUGUGUUCAGCGACCUCUGGUUAAUCUUGAUUGGCUGUUAUUACUGGCUGAACAGGCUCAGGCAGGAAAUGGCAGCUUCGGGAGGAAAGAUUCUUUAAAUGAUAAGUUUCAGCAAAAAAUACGAGUAGAUGCAUUUUUAUUUAUAUAGUUGUGUGCUUUACACUGUAAAUGCAUAUAGCGUAUAUAUCCAUCCUAUUUCUUUAUGUCUCUUCAGCUCAGAAAAACUCCCUUUUCCUUUUCUUGUUUGUGUUUGGGCUUGACUGGGAGUUGCAGACUUCAAAGUGGGAAAGGAACCCUUGGAGAGUCAACGUGCAGAGGUCCUGCCCUGCUGCAGAUCUGCACGCUCACCAAGGUCUUGCCCAGGGCGACAUGCUUGCAGAGACCUGGUGCACAGUGGAACCUCCCUAUUUACAAGUGUACAUUUUCACAGACAAGGGGAGUUAGUAAGCAGUAGAGAACGCAGUGCUAAUUCACAUAUGCUAAUUGUUUUACAUUUAUAACUUGCGUCAAUAUUCUAAAAGGUGUUUGAAGAUGUGAUUCAAUCUUGUGGAUCCUACUUGUGGACUUUUGAACAUGCCUGCCUGGGGUUAGUUAUCCUUCAGUACCAACAUGACCCCAAUAAAGACGCAAGAGGCUGAUAAGCCCAAAGCUCAGCAGGCAGAGUCUCCAGCCCGGUAAAUCCCACCUGUUCGCCUGCACUGUGGGUAUGAGAUCAUUCUAUACAUUUCAGAACUAGGUGGCACCUCUGGGACACUCAGCAGGAUGAUACAGUCAGGGCUGCAGUGACUUCUGUAGUAGUCAUGCAGUGGGUCUGGGUGCUCACUUCCAAGUUCACUGAUUUACAGAGGUCAUGAGAAAAAAGUUCACCUUGGGAUGGCUAUCCUCAUGUUGUGCUUAUUUCCUCCCAAUCUUUUAAUCGUGGUUUGACAGAGCUGGAGCACAGUGUGUGGUUUUACCAUUGCUCAUGGUGUAUUUCUUCUUCCCACUCAUGAGGACGGCUGGGGAUGUCUGCCCAGCAUGAUACCCACUGGGCAGGGUACGGAGAACCAUCGGUCUGCUCUCCUGGUGUUCGGCAUUAAUAAUGCUUAAUGCCAAGAAUUUCUCUAUUCCAGACAUGCUUGUGCCUUAGUUUUUGAACCCAUCUCUAUUUCCUUAAGAUAGAUUUUGAGAAGUAGAAUCAAUUUUAGUACAUAUUCAUUAAAAAGGUAUAAGAGAAAUAUAACAAAUUAUAGACCUAAUUCACUUCUUUUACUUAAGUAAGUUAACCCAGGGCAUUUCAUCAUUAUAAAAAAAAAAUUAGAAAAAACCUUUUUGUUAACUUGAUAAGAACUACAUACUGUGCAGUCCUUUGAAACAGUUUCUGUUUACAGGUGUAAUUAUUUGUCAUUAUCCAUCUGAAAAUUUCCAUGAAUGGUUUACUGAUGCCUGUUAUUCUUUUAUUUUUUAAUUAAAGUGAUGGCGUGUAUUUCCCUUGACCUGUCUCAGUUAUUUGCAUGCUUGGCUACACAGAAGAGUCACCCGGGUGAUUUUAACAAGCCUGCUGAUAACAGACCCUCCCCACUGUGACUCGGCUUUGAUUGCUCUGGGUUGGGGUGCCCACACCGGCACUGUUCAGCUCCUCAGGUGACUCUGUCUACACAUGGAUGCCGUGGAGUUUAAGGCAUGCACUCAGAAGCCAACUGCUUGGGCUAAUCCUCCUUGUCCUUCAAAAAUAUGUCAUCCUGAGCAGUUGUGCACUCGCCCACUGCCACGAUUUCCUCUGCAGUCCCGUGGGAUUCCAUCAGAGACUCGCCUGGUGUCUUCGUUAGAGGGGGGUUGUGUUGGUUGUUUUGUGUAAAUUAUUUAUAAUGUCUGGUAAGUAUGGACAAUUCCUUUUCUUUUACCAUUUUUUUCCCAUUGGUUUUAAUCUAAGUCUUUUUCUUCCCCUAAGAUCAGGUCAACGUGGACGCAUAUUCUCUUAAAUUUUAGUGUUCUAUUUCUCAUUGCUGCGUACGUCUGUAUUUCACUCAGGCUUGGAAUGAAGUUGAUGUAGAAGGAAAAACAAAUCCAUCAGAAAUGUGAGGGGCCUUUCCCCUAACUCCUAGUUCCACCUAAACCACUUAUUUCUGAUUUCCGAAUACACGUAAAGUUUUUUUUUUCUGAUAUUGUCUCCUGGCUUUCAACAUCAAUGGUUCUGGUAGGUGCCUCACUGCAUUUUGAAGCAAGUCCUCUGCUUCAUUUUGCUUCAUCAACUUGUGCUUGUCUGCACAUCUGCACACAUUUCUUUCUUUCUUUAGUACUGGGGAUAUAACUCAAGGGUGCUUAACCACUGAGCCGCAUCCCCAGCUCCUUUUUAUUUUGUGACAGGGUCUCACUGAGUUGCUUAGGACCUCCCUGAGUUGCUGGCCUCAAAUUGGUGACCCUCCUACAUCAGCCUCCUGAGUGUCUGAGAUCAUAGGCGUGAGCCACCACUCCUGGCUGAUAUGGGAUUUUUGAAAUGAGCUUCCAUACCAGUCUGAGAAAGCCCAUCUUGGUAGAAAUUGCUUCCUCCCUGAUUACCACCUCCUGUCAGACGUUCCCUCCUUUCUCCGAUUCUCACAUAUGUUGGAUGUCAACCUCAUUGUCUAAGUUCAUGAAUUCUAUUCAAGAUAAAUGAAAGGAAUUGGACAGUAGCAAACACAACAGAAAAAAUUCAUGAAAUCCAUCUUCAGGGAAGAGUAUGGACAUCUUCCUGGCCUCUGUCAAUUUCCAUCAUCUCUUCAGGAGCAGCCUGUCGUGCACAACUUGCUUUCAGGAAUGACAGCAUCAGCAAACACGGGACGGGGGUGGGGUGGUUAAUGCUGGUGGCUGUCAGGACGCCAGAUAUUGGAGGGUUGGGUUGUCUGAGUCACCCUUAGUUUUGUGCUCCCUCAUUUUAAUCCCGAAAUGCUCUAAAGGCCAAUAAAUAAAUAGUUAUUCAGA